UGAAUACGAGACGCUACGGCGUCGAAGCAGUCUAUGUCAUACUUCCAAGAAAAGCUUGCACUGUCAUAAACAAAUAAUGCCUGUACCAUAACCGACACAGGUGGGUAGGUAGAGUAUACUAAGGGGCGCGAGAUAACUCUCUCUAAGGAACUCGGCAAAAUGACUCCGUAACUUCGGGAGAAGGAGUGCCUUAUUUAUAAGGUUGCAAUAACAAGAUCCAAGCAACUGUUUAUCAAAAACACAGGUCUCCGCUAAGUCGUAAGACGAUGUAUGGGGGCUGACGCCUGCCCAGUGCCAGAAGGUUAAAGAAGUUGGUUAGCAUUAGCGAAGCUGAUAACUGAAGCCCUGGUGAACGGCGGACGUAACUAUAACGGUCCUAAGGUAGCGAAAUUCCUUGUCGGGUAAGUUCCGACCCGCACGAAAGGCGUAAUGAUUUGGAUACUGUCUCGGAGAGGGGCUCGGUGAAAUAGACUUGUCUGUGAAGAUGCGGACUACCUGCACCUGGACAGAAAGACCCUAUGAAGCUUUACUGUAACCUGAAAUUGAAAUUGGACUUUAUUUGCGCAGUAUAGGUGGGAGGCGUUGAGAAUAUUCUUGCGGGAAUAUUGGAGCCAUCAGUGAGAUACCACUCUUGUAAUGUUAGAUUUCUAACUUUGAAUCAUUAUCUGGUCAAAUAACAGUUUCAGGCGGGCAGUUUGACUGGGGCGGUCGCCUCCUAAAUGGUAACGGAGGCGCACAAAGGUUUCCUCUGAACGGGUAGAAAUCGUAUCUAGAGUGUAAAGGCAUAAGGAAGCUUGACUGUGAGACCUACAAGUCGAGCAGGGACGAAAGUCGGUCUUAGUGAUCUGACGGUGCUGAGUGGAAAGGCCGUCACUCAACGGAUAAAAGUUACUCUAAGGAUAACAGGCUGAUCUCCCCCAAGAGUUCACAUCGACGGGGAGGUUUGGCACCUCGAUGUCGGCUCAUCGCAUCCUGGGGCGGUAGUACGUCCCAAGGGUUGGGCUGUUCGCCCAUGAAAGCGGUACGCGAGCUGGGUUCAGAACGUCGUGAGACAGUUCGGUCCAUAUCCGGUGUAGGCGUUAGAAUAUUGAGAGGAGCCUUCUUUAGUACGAGAGGACCGAGAAGGACAUACCUCUGGUGUACCAGUUAUCGUGCCAACGGUAAACGCUGGGUAGCUAUGUAUGGAGAGGAUAACCGCUGAAAGCAUCUAAGUGGGAAGCCCACCUCAAGAUAAGUAUUCUG
rnacentral:rRNA from 1 species